rnacentral:tRNA from 1 species
GCGGAUGUAGCUCAGUUGGUAGAGCAUCAGCUUCCCAAGCUGAGGGUCGCGGGUUCGAUCCCCGUCAUCCGCU